rnacentral:rRNA from 1 species
CCUACGGGUGGCAGCAGUGGGGAAUAUUGCACAAUGGGGGAAACCCUGAUGCAGCGACGCCGCGUGAGUGAAGAAGUAUUUCGGUAUGUAAAGCUCUUUCAGCAGGGAAGAAAAUGACGGUACCUGUUUACGAAGCCCCGGCUAACUACGUGAAAGCAGCCGCGGUAAUACGGAGGGGGCAAGCGUUAUCCGGAAUUACUGGGUGUAACGGGAGCGUAGACGGUGAUGCAAGUCUGGAGUGAAAGGCGGGGGCCCAACCCCCGGACUGCUCUGGAAACUGGGUAACUAGAGUGCAGGAGAGGUAAGCGGAAUUCCAGGUGUAGCGGUGAAAUGCGUAGAGAUUAGGAGGAACACCAGUGGCGAAGGCGGCUUACUGGACUGUAACUGACGUUGAGGCUCGAAAGCGUGGGGAGCAAACAGGAUUAGAUACCCCGGUAGUC